GUCCACGCCGUAAACGAUGGGCACUAGAUCCUUGGGGGAGCGACCCCUUGAGGGUCGGCGCUAACGCAUUAAGUGCCCCGCCUGGGGAGUACGGCCGCAAGGCUGAAACUCAAAGGAAUUGACGGGGGCCCGCACAAGCGGUGGAGCAUGUGGUUUAAUUCGACGCAACGCGAAGAACCUUACCUGGGCUUGACAUGCACGGGACGGUCUGGGGAAACCUGGGACUCUCUUCGGAGCCCGUGCACAGGUGCUGCAUGGCUGUCGU
rnacentral:rRNA from 1 species